GCCGAUUAAAGUGGUACGUGAGUUGGGUUCAAAACGUCGUGAGACAGUUUGGUCCCUAUCUGCUGUGGGUGUUCGAGACUUGAGAGGAGCCGUCCUUAGUACGAGAGGACCGGGAUGGACGUACCUCUGGUGUACCGGUUGUGACGCCAGUCGCAGCGCCGGGUAGCUAUGUACUGGAGGGAUAAACGCUGAAAGCAUCUAAGCGUGAAACCCGCCUCAAAACUAGGUCUCGCUGAGAGUCGUGGUAGACCACCACGUUGAUAGGCCGCAUGUGCAAGUGCAGUGAUGCAUUCAGCUUAGCGGUACUAAUAGCUCGAUCGGCUUGAUUUCAUUCG
rnacentral:rRNA from 1 species